AGUUCCAGCUUCCUGGCUGCUUUGUUUACCUAAUCAAGCCUGGGCAAUGGCGGGCGCCCCUCCCCCAGCCUUGCUGCCGCCUUGCAGUUUGAUCUCAGACUGCUGUGCUAGCAAUCAGCGAGACUCCGUGGGUGUAGGACCCUCUGAGCCAGGUGUGGGAUAUAAUCUCGUGGUGCGCCGUUUUUUAAGCCCGUCGGAAAAGCGCAGUAUUCAGGUAUCACCAGCUGUUUAUUUCUUCAGACAUAAAGUUCCAUUGAGGUGAAGCAAUGAUGCAAGGCUUUUGGCAACCGUUCCCCAGCUCCCAGCCACACAUCGCUCCACUUACCUUGAGUGACAGCCUCCAAAGAAAAGUUUCCACCGCGCCAGAGUCUUGACCCUGAGUGGCAUCGGCAGGGUCUCCUGCGGCAGACCAGGGGUGUUGCGGGCUGCGCUGGGUGGGGGACCGCGCGCUGCACGUGCAGUGCCGCCCGGACGGCGGCGAAAGGACAGCGGUGCACCCCGCCCGAGGCCCCAGCGAUCCAUCAGGGCGGCUGUACGCGGGAAGACGCUUCAUCUCAUCCCUAGAUGGCAGCAGGAUUCUGAAGCUGGCGCAGCCCUGGGCAGCCCUUUCUGGUCUAUUUUCCUGAACAGAUUGCCAGGGGAUACGGCGGCUAAACAGCCAGGCGCCUCCCCGGAGCGCAGCUCAGACAGAAGAGCAAGCCGGACAGACGCCGCUGGCGAGGCUUCGGGGGUCAGAUCCUGCAGCUUGGACACCACAUUCUCUCUUUUUGCACACAGAUGUGCUACUGUGUAAAAAUAAGCAAACAAACAAAAACGGGAGUUCAGCUUCUUGGAGAAUGUGUCAUGGUCAAGACCAGUGAUUCUGGACGGUGACAAAAGUCCUGGAGGCCUGAGUGCACAGAGGACACACGCACAGAUGCACAUGAACUCAUGGAGAAACACUGGUCUUCUCUGCCAGGGACCAGGCUGGCCAUGCAGGAAGGGAGCAGGAUGUGAAGAUUCAGACUUUAGCUCCAGCUUCACUACCGUCCUGCCGUGCACUUUGGGGGAAGAUUCGUUCUGUUCCUGAGCCUUAGUUAUUUUAUCUGUAAAAUUGGGGUUAUUAUAGCUUUCAGCUCUGUGUACAUACAAAAGACUGUUAGGAUUAUCAAGAGGAACAAAGAAGGGGGAAAAAUCACUUUGGCAGGAACAGGCUCACUGCUGCAGCUUUUGGCCCAGAGCAGGCAUUUUUCUUCAGAGGAAGCUUCCAAAUGGUGCUACAGUAUUUAUUUUGAUCAGCCAGAUAUGACUUAUUUGAAAACAAAGGGCAGAGGUUGUUUCGCACCUUAAAAGCUGAGGGCUUUUGUCUCCAAACCACUUAUUUUGUCCACACCCAGUCCCUCAUCAUGGACUUUGUCAUCCCUUGGAAAUCCUUUACAUCAGAAAUCUUUAUCACCAGAAACUACACACAGUAGCCCAAUAGCUGCAUCCCCGAGGGCCCCAGGAUGAAAUAGGAAAAGCUGAAACUACUCUGGUUGGAGUAUAUGCUAUAUUGGAAAAAGUUACUGUUAACAUGGUAUAUAACAUACUGAGUGAGUCAGAAAAUUUUCUCACCAAGUCUGAGUCAGAGGAAAAAAAAUCAAAGAUUUAAAAAAAUUCCUCAUAUUACGUUCAGUACAUUUUGCUUGUUUUCUUUGAGUUCUGUUCUCUUCUAGCACCAUGGCAACCUUCGUCACACAAGGAGCAGGAGGACAAAGGUGACAGAUGUUUACCUCUUUAUUUUGUCUAGGGUCUUGUUUCCUUCACUCUCACCUGAUUCAAACUUUCAGCAAAUGUACAAGGGCCAGAAACACUUCCUCCUGACCCUGACCCCAGCAAUUUUGUAAUAUGUGUAAAACCUUAAGUAACUUUGAUUAUUUACACCAAAUAAAGUAGAGCUUCACAGUCUA
rnacentral:lncRNA from 1 species